UGAAGGCUGAGAAGUCCGAAAUCAAGAUGC
rnacentral:piRNA from 1 species